GUUUUUUCCUGUGCUGGCCCCCCGUGGGAAUCGAACCCACAACCCUGGUGUUGCAAACACCAUGCUCUACCAACUGAGCUACAGGGAAGGCUUGUAGUACCUAUCCCCCUAGUUAGACCCAGGUCUGUUAGGCUGCAGUACCUAUCCUCCUAGUUAGACCCAGGUCUGUUAGGCUGCAGUACCUAUCCCCCUAGUUAGACCCAGGUCUGUUAGGCUGCAGUACCUAUCCCCCUAGUUAGACCCAGGUCUGUUAGGCUACAGUACCUAUCCCCCUAGUUAGACCCAGGUCUGUUAGGCUGCAGUACCUAUCCCCCUAGUUAGACCCAGGUCUGUUAGGCUGCAGUACCUAUCCUCCUAGUUAGACCCAGGUCUGUUCGGCUGCAGUACCUAUCCCCCUAGUUAGACCCAGGUCUCUUAGGCUGCAGUACCUAUCCUCCUAGUUAGACCCAGGUCUGUUAGGCUGCAGUACCUAUCCCCCUAGUUAGACCCAGAUCUGUUAGGCUGCAGUACCUAUCCCCCUAGUUAGACCCAGAUCUGUUAGGCUGCAGUACCUAUCCCCCUAGUUAGACCCAGGUCUGUUAGGCUGCAGUACCUAUCCUCCUAGUUAGACCCAGGUCUGUUAGGCUGCAGUACCUAUCCCCCUAGUUAGACCCAGGUCUGUUAGGCUGCACUACCUAUCCCCCUAGUUAGACCCAGGUCUGUUAGGCUGCAGUACCUAUCCCCCUAGUUAGACCCAGGUCUGUUAGGCUACAGUACCUAUCCCCCUAGUUAGACCCAGAUCUGUUAGGCUGCAGUACCUAUCCUCCUAGUUAGACCCACGUCUGUUAGGCUACAGUACCUAUACCCCUAGUUAGACCCAGAUCUGUUAGGCUGCAGUACCUAUCCUCCUAGUUAGACCCAGGUCUGUUAGGCUGCAGUACCUAUCCUCCUAGUUAGACCCAGGUAUGUUAGGCUGCACUACCUAUCCCCCUAGUUAGACCCAGGUCUGUUAGGCUGCAGUACCUAUCCCCCUAGUUAGACCCAGGUCUGUUAGCGCUGCAGUACCUAUCCCCCUAGUUAGACCCAGGUCUGUUAGGCUACAGUACCUAUCCCCCUAGUUAGACCCAGAUCUGUUAGGCUGCAGUACCUAUCCCCCUAGUUAGACCCAGGUCUGUUAGGCUGCAGUACCUAUCCCCCUAGUUAGACCCAGGUCUGUUAGGCUACACUACCUAUCCCCCAUAGUUAGACCCAAGUCUGUCAGCUACGGUAUCUAUUUCCACUGGUCUUGUUAGGUCUAUCUGGGAGUGCUUAAACUCCAUACUUCCUGCCGUCUGGGCUCCGGACUUUUUAAAUUUUAUUCCUUGAAUUAAGGGUCCAGGUCAAAUAUUUUCGAUUAUGAACCUCAAGGUAUUUUUAUUCUCUGGACAUUGGAGAAUUUCGUUUUUUUUCUCCCCCCCUCUCUCCAUCUCUCAUUUUCUCUUUAUUUGUCUCUGUCUCUCACAGGGAAUAUUCGGAUGGAAAGGUUGAUGAUCUCUCCCAUGGAAAUAAAUUACCCAGAUUUCCUGAGUUAAUGUCAAAAUGGCUGAGUGAUGGGGGGGGGAUCCCACUAAUGAUGUUAUUCAUAAUUCAUAAACUGUUUCACUGUUACCAAGUCUUGUUACUGUAGAAUAAAGAUCAAAGUGAAUAGCAGACUGUUAUUAGAAGUCAACGUCGUCUCAACCACAAUGACAUCUAUAAUGGUUUCCCAGAAGACCGGACUGGGGCACAAUAAUGUACUGUGGUUAAUCUCCCUGGACUGUGUGGGUCUUCCACCUGGUAAUCUACCCGUGGCUGUGUCCCAAGGGCCUUCCCCCUGGUUAUCUCCCUGGGCUUUGUACCAAGGUAUUUCCACCUGGUUAUCUCCCUGGGCUGUGUACCAAGGUAUUUCCCCCUGGUUAUCUCCCUGGGCUUUGUACCAAGGUAUUUCCAUCUGGUUAAUCUCCCUGGGCUUUGUACCAAGGUAUUUCCACCUGGUUAAUCUCCCUGGGCUGUGUACCAAGGUAUUUCCACCUGGUUAUCUCCCUGGGCUGUGUAUCAAGGUAUUUCCCCCUGGUUAUCUCCCUGGGCUUUGUACCAAGGUAUUUCCACCUGGUUAAUCUCCCUGGGCUGUGUACCAAGGUAUUUCCACCUGGUUAUCUCCCUGGGCUGUGUAUCAAGGUAUUUCCCCCUGGUUAUCUCCCUGGGCUUUGUACCAAGGUAUUUCCACCUGGUUAUCUCCCUGGGCUUUGUACCAAGGUAUUUCCCCCUGGUUAUCUCCCUGGGCUUUGUACCAAGGUAUUUCCACCUGGUUAUCUCCCUGGGCUUUGUACCAAGG
rnacentral:tRNA from 1 species